rnacentral:misc_RNA from 1 species
AGUCUUUGUCAGCGUGAAUGGAUGCUAGAAGUUGAAAAUAGAAUGAUUUUAUGUGAUAUAUGGCACAUUUUUAUAUGGACAUGUAAAUAUGAUUGAAAAAAGCUGUACUUUGGAAUUGUUUGUAAUUUUGUAUAAUUAUGAUGUUUGUGUUUGAAUAUUUAUUUGUUUUAAAAAAAAAAGAAUAAAAAGUGCUAAAGGUAAACUUGAUAUUUUUAGGCACCAUUUUUUAUUUGUUUCUGGUUUUCGAGUCAUCAAACUGCUUAGUUUCAGAUUGAUCUUGGAAAUUGUAAAUUUUUAUUAGACAUAGAGAAUAUAAAUGAACUUUUAGUUUUAAAACAAACUUGUCCAUUUGUUUGAUUACCUGAAUUUUUUUUUCAUUUUAAUAAUUCCUAAAAGUUGCAUGUUUUUCAUGCUACAAAAUGUAUUCAAGGUAAAGAAUUUCUGGAAUUCUUGUAUGAAUGUUGAACUUGUAUAUAAUUUGCACCUUUUUGGUUACCUCCUGCCGAGUGCAUGGUACUGUAUCUGUUGAUGUUGGGAUAAUGCCCAGGAUUCAGCAUCUGGAUACUAAACAUACAAUUUAUAACAAUAGUAUGAAUACUAAUUUUUAAAAAUAAAACUCAAUUACU